GGUGAAACCACAAAUUUGACUGGACUCACGGCAAAAGGCAAUCAUGUAAGUGCCCACGAAUAUGAGAAGUUUGAAGAGGAGAUCGUCAAAAGGGGUAUUCCAAAAGAAAACAUCUUAAAAGUCAUCGAUACAGACACCUGCCCUAAGAGCACUCAUUAGGCCCAGUUCCAGAACAUUUUUAGAGAGACAAGGAAAGAGAGAACAAUUUGCAUGAGGCUUGCCACACGUCUACCAACCAGGAUGUUUAUCGUUGAUAUUUCAAGAAUCUCUGGAAGAAAGUCUGACAAGCAACGAGGAUGUGAUGAUUCUACUGUUGCCUCUUGUACCUGCUCUGGAUUUGUGCUGAUCAGAAAUGUGUAUCUGUGGAAUAACUCUCAAAAGGCACUGGAACUUGCUUUUUGUUGCAGCUAGUAAAAGGAAGAACAAAAAUGGGCCAUUCAAGACUUAGGUCCAUAGUAUUGAUUUUAGUGGCACAGUUCUCUUCAAACAUUAUAUCAUGUAAGUAAAGAUGACAUAGAACAAACCCCAUAGAAAUGUCUGACUCUUGAAAGGGUCAGACUCCCAUGUUUGCCGUGAAAUAUCUGGAUUAUGCUGAAGAGCACAAAAAGGAUAUUUUCUUUAGAAGUAUCUUUGUGAUUUUGUCCUCCACACUGGUAUAAGACCCCAAGAAUGCCACGGACAUUGGCUUAGGGGACAGUGAGCCACGGAAGCUACGUUUGACUCAUCUCACGAAAGAAUUGAAGGACAGGAAGCAACAAAAGAGUGUAGUGAUCUAAAAUCCUAGAGUUUUUCACCACUGGCCAAAUCUUUUAUGUAUGAUUUUUAAACAGUUUUAAAGUUAGGGGAAAACAUGCUCCAAAGAGUUCUGUGUGGAAGGUGAAACACAUAAGUGAUAUCUACCAUGAAAAACUUAAUCAUUGCCAUUUAAAAUUAAAAAAUUUAUUAAAGCGUUCAAUUGUUCAAUGAUUAUUAAUGAAGUGCUGACUCUAAUAAUGACAUUUUGGUAUGAACUCAAAUGUGUAAAAGGUUGAAGAAACAUUUUUCAAGGAGUUUGCAUUAAAAAGGAGAUUUGCAGAGUGAUAUGCUAGAGAAAACUGAUUUGAAGAAAAUAUUUUUAUGAUAUGCAAGA